GGAGCCUGGAGCACAGGGCUUGCUCCCCUCAGCACCGCAGCACCAGACUUCUGGAAGGCCUCCACUUCGCCCCCACAAGUGCUGCCCUUCCUGGUCCUGGACAACUGGAAACAUAAUCCAUCAGGUCCUCUGCUGUGCUGAAGUCCUGGAGGGUGUGGGGAAGGCUGGACAUGUGGGCCCUGGUGCAGCAGCCGCAAGAUGGAGGGAAAUGUGUGGGGUGCCAGGGGCCCUGAUGCUAAUAAAGAAUGGACUCUGCUUUU